AUUGAACGCUGGCGGCAUGCCUUACACAUGCAAGUCGAACGGCAGCACGGGGCAACCUGGUGGCGAGUGGCGAACGGGUGAGUAAUGCAUCGGAACGUACCUUUCAGUGGGGGAUAACGUAGCGAAAGUUACGCCAAUACCGCAUAUUCUGUGAGCAGGAAAGCAGGGGAUCACAAGACCUUGCGCUGAUUGAGCGGCCGAUGUCAGACUAGCUAGUUGGUGAGGUAAAGGCUCACCAAGGCGACGAUCUGUAGCGGGUCUGAGAGGAUGAUCCGCCACACUGGAACUGAGACACGGUCCAGACUCCUACGGGAGGCAGCAGUGGGGAAUUUUGGACAAUGGGGGCAACCCUGAUCCAGCCAUGCCGCGUGAGUGAAGAAGGCCUUCGGGUUGUAAAGCUCUUUCGGCCGGGAAGAGAUCGCACGGGCUAAUACCCUGUGUGGAUGACGGUACCGGAAUAAGAAGCACCGGCUAACUACGUGCCAGCCGCCGCAGUAAUAC
rnacentral:rRNA from 1 species